CUCAACUCCUCGUUCAAUUCAAAAAUGAAAUUUGGACCGAAAACUCAGCGUGUGAAUGAAAUUUGAAGAGUGUGAAGAUGGCGAUGGAAGUGGAGCAGAAUCAGAAUCAUCAAUUAGGGUUUCCCUUCUGGAAACCGCUCCGUCACAGGUUCGGGCCCGAAUCUCCUUUCUUCGCUCCCGGCAACCUCGAACGGGAACUUCUUGCCAAACAGCUUGCUUUGGAAUUAACAGAAGAAAAGCAACAGCUUGAGAAAUGGAUGCAAGAGGAAGAAGGAAGGUACUGAUCCUUAUAUUGUUGGUUUCAUAUUGUUUACAAUACGUGAGAUUCAAAUCAAUGCUGGUACAUGAUUUUCAAAUGUCGGGCUUCAAGUUCAUGAUGGAUUGGCUAAAAUACAUCCAAGUAUAAAUCAACCAAACACUCCCUAA